GACGAACGCUGGCGGCGUGCUUAACACAUGCAAGUCGAACGGAAAGGCCCUGCUUUUGUGGGGUGCUCGAGUGGCGAACGGGUGAGUAACACGUGAGUAACCUGCCCUUGACUUUGGGAUAACUUCAGGAAACUGGGGCUAAUACCGGAUAGGAGCUCCUGCUGCAUGGUGGGGGUUGGAAAGUUUCGGCGGUUGGGGAUGGACUCGCGGCUUAUCAGCUUGUUGGUGGGGUAGUGGCUUACCAAGGCUUUGACGGGUAGCCGGCCUGAGAGGGUGACCGGCCACAUUGGGACUGAGAUACGGCCCAGACUCCUACGGGAGGCAGCAGUGGGGAAUAUUGCACCAUGGGCGGAAGCCUGAUGCAGCAACGCCGCGUGCGGGAUGACGGCCUUCGGGUUGUAAACCGCUUUCGCCUGUGACGAAGCGUGAGUGACGGUAAUGGGUAAAGAAGCACCGGCUCCCUACGUG
rnacentral:rRNA from 1 species